AUGAACAUUGCUCUCUUGACCCGUUGGCUCUGGCGUAUUGCCAAUGGGGAGGGAGGCCUCUGGCUCACCAUUGUCCGGAAUAAGUACCUUCGGGGCCAACCUUUAGCUUUCUGUCAGCGCUCCGGUGGCUCCCAGUUCUGGUAGGCCGUGAUCCAGCUUCUCCCCGUGCUGCGUAUUGGCACGUCCAUCUUGGUUGGCUCCGGAUCCGCGACCCUGUUUUGGUUCGAUCGAUGGGUUGGCUACUCACCCCUGGCCGCACGAUUCCUUGCCAUUGCGGAGGAUCCUAGGAUCUCUGUCGAGACAGCCCUUAUUGACUUAGGGCGUCUCGCUUUCCGGCGUCCCUUCGGCCCUCUGGAGAUGGCCGCUUGGGACUCCCUUCUCCAAGACAUCGCCCUUCUCUUGAUGGAUGUCGAGGACACUUCUGACUCCGUCUCUUGGCGCCUGGAGCCCUCUGGCCGCUUCUCCACGAAGUCCUUAUACUCGGCCAUCGCUCCGUCGACGGCCCCUGAGCCCUUUAGCCUGAUAUGGAAUAUUUGCUUGCCCCUAAAGAUCAGGAUCUUCAUGUGGCAGUGGAUGCGAGGACGCCUUCCCUCUGGGAUGUCCUCAAGCGCAAUGGACCUGGCGACAGGAUGUGCCCCAUGUGUGACACGGUGGAGGAUGCUAACCACAUCUUCUUCUCCUGCACCACAGCACAGUUCCUGUGGUCCUGCUUCCACGAGACGGUCGGUGGACAAUGGUGUAAUACCAACUUCCCUGACCUAUUUGCGAAGAUCCACGCCUCCCCUCCUAGCCACCGUCAUAUUAGACGGCUAUGCGUUGGGGUCCUUGCUUGGACGCUUUGGACUAUUCGCAACAAGCUGGUUAUUUAGAAGACUCCUCUCCGCCGUGCGACUGAUGCGAUCUUCAAACUAUGUGGUUACUUGCAGCUCUGGCGGCCGCUUAGCCGCCCCCAGGACCAGGACGCCACCAACACCCUCCUCGCCGACCUUCGCUCGAUGGCCUUCCGCUUGGCGCCCCCGCCGCCGCCCCCUCCUCCGGAGCCCGAUUAGACUUGUUACUCGGGUUGUUGUGUGUGAGUGUGUUGUUUUGUGUUCAGGGCUUGUUGAGCUGCACCCUCAGCAUUAA
rnacentral:rRNA from 1 species